ensembl:miRNA
GCUUUUUGGGGUAAGGGCUUCCGGCUAUUGAGUUAUGUACAGCAAGCCCAGACCGCAAAAAGAUU